GUAGGUGGCAAGCGUUGUCCGGAAUUAUUGGGCGUAAAGCGCGCGCAGGUGGUUCUUUAAGUCUGAUGUGAAAGCCCCCGGGCUCAACCGGGGAGGGUCAUUGGAAACAGGGGAACUUGAGUGCAGGAGAGGAAAGUGGAAUUCCACGUGUAGCGGUGAAAUGCGUAGAUAUGUGGAGGAACACCAGUGGCGAAGGCGACUUUCUGGCCUGUAACUGACACUGAGGCGCGAAAGCGUGGGGAGCAAACAGGAUUAGAUACCCUGGUAGUCCACGCCGUAAACGAUGAGUGCUAAGUGUUGGGGGGUUUCCGCCCCUCAGUGCUGCAGCUAACGCAUUAAGCACUCCGCCUGGGGAGUACGGUCGCAAAGACUG
rnacentral:rRNA from 1 species